AGGAAAUCCUUUUCCCUGCUAACAUUUAUUUGCAGUUGGAUGUGAAGGCAUGGAAAUGUAAAACAUGAAGGCAGUACACGAGAUGAGGAGCUUUAUUCAAGCAAUUGUAGCAUGUCAUGUUUUGCCUGUACAUAACCACAGCUGUGAAUUGGUGUGAGAACCUGAUUUUUUUUUUUUUAAUCUAGGCAUAUCAUAUGAACAGAAUUCCAGAAUAUGAUACAACCCAGAACAUACACGACUCGGAAUAAGAGAACACUGCAGUUGUUAUAACUGAUGGCAAGCUUACAAUGACUUUGUUCGUUCUGUGGGACAAGAAAAUUUAAAUAUAAAACAAGCAGAACAGAUACCAACAUGAAAUGCUCUGUAUUUGCCAUACGAGGAGAGAUUUGUGAUUGCAUCAGCCUGCAGAGAGAGUAGCUGGAAACUAUCCGAGCGUGAUGACUAAACAGAAACUGAUCUGUUGUUUGCUGGCUGGCACGAACAAGUAUUGCCAAAGCUAGGAAAUUCAGAAGGCAAAAACAAGUAGUAGUAACCCACUUCUAGGCAUGCAUUACAACAUGAUCAAAGAGCAACAUCUCCCAGAAAGAGAAGUAAACUAACAGAACAGUAGUUUUAGAGUGAGGGCAUUUCAUCUUAACUGUUCAGAAUGCAGUGCUAGGGAUGGGCCUGUUAUUAACACAACACUUCCUUCCUUUUCUAAUUUGCCAUUAACAUUUUUCUUAUACCUUGAAUCCCAAGUCUGCUGACCUUUCAGAAUGGAGCAUGGUUAACUUGAAGGGUGUAUAAUUUAACAGUUUCAACUGCUCAAAAAAAGAUCUGUUAAGUGAAUUUGGAUUUAUCACAGGCCAUCAGACACUCAGCAACAGAUGAAAACGUAGUUAUUAUUCUCUUCAAUCUUCUCUACUUAGAUUACAUCUAAGUCAAUAUCCUACAGUCUGAACUCAGGUACCAGAGAUAGCAGAGACAAUGAGUUCAGUAUCUGCCCCUUACUGGUCAGGAGGCAGGAUACAAACAAUUGCUACAGCAGACUGGGGAAGAUCAUUGCAAUACUGGUAUUCAUCAUUUGUUGUUGUGAUACUUUCAAUGAGAUUAGAUACACUCAAAACCAAACGUCAAUAAGUGACAAAAGCUCCUCUUAAGAAACUGUUAAAACCAACAAAAAACACCCAUGUUCUCAGACUGGGAAGAAUUGGGUAUUACUGCUAUAGAAGAGCUAGUAAAGCAAGCAGAGGGUACAAUGUCUCUUUUCUUGUACAGGGGAAUCUCAGGCAAGGAACGUUUCCUGUGGUAUUUGUUCCUUAAUGAGGAAAACUGUAGCCAACAAGCAGGAAGAGACAUAAUCCCCUUACUGACCACUCUACAGCUGCAUCAGGCCAUGCUGCACAUCUGGAAGCACAAAGCAGAGGAAAGUAGAAGCUAUUUUUCCUCAUCUUCCUUUCAG
rnacentral:lncRNA from 1 species